rnacentral:rRNA from 1 species
CGCGUAGGCGGUUUUGCAAGUAGAGUGUGAAAGCCCAGGGCUCAACCCUGGAACUGCAUUCUAGACUGCAUUACUUGAAUUCGGUAGAGGUGAGUGGAAUUCCCAGUGUAGAGGUGAAAUUCGUAGAUAUUGGGAAGAACACCGGUGGCGAAGGCGGCUCACUGGACCGACAUUGACGCUGAGGCGCGAAAGCGUGGGGAGCAAACAGGAUUAGAUACCCUGGUAGUCCACGCCGUAAACGAUGCAUGCUAGACGUCGGCGGACUUAGUCCGCUCGUGUCGCAGCUAACGCAAUAAGCAUGCCGCCUGGGGAGUACGGCCGCAAGGUUGAA